rnacentral:rRNA from 1 species
AUACUCUAAAAUUUUAAAAAUUUUUAAUUCACGAAACUCCCUGAGCUAAUUUAAAUGUACUUUUGGGAAUAGAUUAAUUAAUGUUGCAUCAUUAAGAAAACAAACUAAAUUAGGGGUGAUAGGCUAUUCAAAGUGAGUGAUAUCUUGAUAACUAAGAAAUAUAUGUAGUAUAAGUACAGUUCAAAAACGUUAAGGUUUUUGAACACAAUUAAUAGGUUUUUUUGUAUUUGUUGUAUAUUUAAUAGUUACAUAAAUAUUGAUAUUAUCAUUCUUUAAAUUAAUAUUAUUGAAAUUACUAGUUUAUAUAUUCUAAAAAAACUAUAAAUAAACAAUGAGUAUAUUAGUAUAUUAAUCAAGUAUUUUAAAGGAACUCGGCAAAUUUAUUAACUUGACUGUUUAUCAAAAACAUUUCCUUAGGUAAUUUUCUAAGGUUAGCCCUGCUCAAUGAUAAUUAAAUAGCCGCAGUACCCUGACUGUGCAAAGGUAGCAUAAUCAGUUGGCUUAUAAUUGAAGUCUAGAAUGAAUGGGUUAACGGGUUAACACUGUCUUUAAAAUAUUCAUAUAAAUUAAUAAAUAAGUGAAAAAUCUUAUAUAUAUAAAAUAGACGAGAAGACCCUAGAAAUUUUAUUAAAAUAAUUUUCUAUCAUUAAUUUUGUUGGGGCGACAAAGUAACAAUUAACUUACUAUUGUUUACGUGAAAUUAAUUAGUCGUAAGGAUAAAUUACUCUAGGGAUAACAGCAUUAUUUAAUUUUAAGAUUGUGACCUCGAUGUUGGAUUAGGGUGCUUAUUACUUAAAAGGUAUAUUUGAAGGCUCUGUUCGAGCUAUAAUUCCCUACGUGAUCUGAGUUCAGACCGG